rnacentral:tRNA from 1 species
GCUCAGCGGUUAAAAAAAAAAAAAAUCUGCCUGCUAAGCAGUAGAUGCAGGUUCAAUUCCUGUGUCAAGCA